UUUGGAGGAAUACAUCUCAUAAUUCAUUUCUAAAAAAACUAGGGUGGAAGAUGAAGAGAGAAAUCAGGGGAGGGGCAACUGAAGGGGGCCCACAUUGUGUCUGCUGGGGUGGGCUGUCGGUGAACUGUGUGUAGAGCAUAACCACCUUCCCUGCUAGUACAGUGGUAAUAAACACUCUCACCUACACCCAUGGCUGCCACAUUUAUUUGUGGGGCAACCCUGAGUUGAUCCAGUCUCCUAUAGUUUAUUAGUUGUUUAUGUAGGGUUAAUGUACACCUAUUUUGGAUUAACUUCGUCACCCUUUCCAGAGCUACUGGGGCCAAUCAUAUAGUUGAGUGCCAUUGGACGCAUGGACACAACUGCACAACAUAUAUGGUACCUGCUGUACAUCUACGGUGUUGGCUCCACAGGCAUGUGUCAGUCGGUCAUUUCUUGCUGGAUCCUAUGAUAAGAAGCUUCGGUGAGAUCUUGUCUUCUGACACUGUCUCAGAAGUGAGUUUCCUGUUAUCUUCCCCAUGGAAAGGCGAAGGUGCAAGGACAAAUCUGGGGACAGCGCAAUAAAGCUGGCUUUAAUCGCUCGGAUCAACUCCAACCGUAAGCUUUCUCGUGCGUGUGGAUGAGGCGAGCUCCAGACGAGCCCACCACUGUGACCACUCCACACUGGAGACUAGAGUACAAUACAGGACCUUCCCUCGGCUCCUCGGCGGUCGGAACUGCCCUUCGGUCUGAGCCCGGAAAACUCAGCCUGGGCCCGGGUCAGCCGGUCAGGUGGUGUGCGAGCGCCUUCUUCAUGUGCAGGUUUUGCUGCACUGGUGCCCACAUACAUGCGCGCGGUAAGCCGGUAACUAUCGUGCCAGAGAUCCCAUGGGAGCUAAAAAGUUUUUAUAUCUAUCUAGGCCUUCGCGAUUGUAGCACGUGCAGUAUAGCACUACUAGAAAACAGACCAAAGAUCCAGGCUAAAAGUACCACUUGUUGUAUGAACCGGUACUAAUAUAAGGCAUCAGCACCGGCUGCAACACUAGCCGGUACUAUUGGCCUGCGCCGAGCGCUAGCAAGAUGCGCCACGGCACAAACCGGUGCCAAUGCACUGACAAAAUCACCGGGUAAUGCUAUGAGCCGGUACCAAAUGGUCGAUGCAUCAAUAGCACCGGGUGGAGGCACGACCCGGCGCUAUUGGUGCAGACAUUGGUACCGGGUCACGCCAUAACCCGGUGUCAGUGCAUGCCUUAGAUAUAGGUACCGGUUGGUGGCAAUUGAAAACACGUCUUUUGGCAUUGGUUGAAAGAAUUACCCGGCACCAAAACAUGGCCGUCCAGUUUGGCUCCGCGAUAUUUUAAGUCCCUGUUCAUUCAUCUCUCACGUCGAUCUCUCAUUCUCUCGUCUCUCUCAUCUCUCAUUCUCUACCUCUC